rnacentral:misc_RNA from 1 species
GAAAAAUCACCUGGAAUCCGUCACUCUUUUGAAGCUUACUGCUGAAGACAGGGCAUCACAUUUAGAUGGUGCACUGAAGGAGUGCAUGCGGCAGAUACGUAAUUUGAAAGAAGAGCAUGAACAGAAGCUGCAUGAUGUGAUUCAGAAUAAAGCCAAACAGUUUGACAAAAUGAAGCAUGAGUUUGAAGCAAAGAUAGCUAACUUGGACCAACAGUUACUCAGGUCUGCAGCAGAAAAUUCUGCACUCUCAAGGUCUUUGCAGGAGCGUUC